GUAGCUCAGUUGGUUAGAGCGCACCCCUGAUAAGGGUGAGGUCGGCAGUUCGAAUCUGCCC
rnacentral:tRNA from 4 species